UAAUGGCCUACCAAGGCGACAACCCGUAGCUGGUCUGAGAGGACGACCAGCCACACCGGAAGUGAGACACGGUCCGGACUCCUACGGGAGGCAGCAGUGGGGAAUAUUGGACAAUGGGGGAAACCCUGAUCCAGCGACGCCGCGUGUGUGAAGAAGGCCUUCGGGUUGUAAACCCCUUUCAGUUGGGACGAAGCUCCGUCGGUGAAUAGCCGGUUGGAGUGACGGUACCUUCAGAAGAAGCCCCGGCUAACUACGUGCCAGCAGCCGCGGUAAUACGUAGGGGGCAAGCGUUGUCCGGAAUCAUUGGGCGUAAAGAGCGUGUAGGUGGCUCGGUAAGUCCGCUGUAAAAGUCCUGGGCUCAUCCCUGGAAAGCCGGUGGAAACUGUCGGGCUAGAGUCCGGAAGAGGCGAGUGGAAUUCCUGGUGUAGCGGUGAAAUG
rnacentral:rRNA from 1 species